rnacentral:misc_RNA from 1 species
GAUGAAGAACGCAGCAAAAUGCGAUAAGUAGUGUGAAUUGCAGAAUUCAGUGAAUCAUCGAAUCUUUGAACGCUCAUUGCGCCCCUUGGUAUUCCAUGGGGCAUGCCUGUUCGAGCGUCAUUGACACCCUCAAGCUCUGCUUGGUGUUGGGCCGUUGUCGUUUCCUCGCCCCCCCCGGGCGACACAGCGACACCCCUCAAAGUCAUUGGCGGCUUUCCUGCCCAGCUUUCCCGCGCAGCAGUUCGCGAUUCGGAGACCACUUGGCAGGUUGGCAUCCAUCAAGCUGACCCCUCACGCUUGACCUCGGAUCAGGUAGGGACUACCCGCUGAACUUAAGCAUAUCAAUAAGCGGAGGA